UCUUAAUUCAAUGAUAGCAACAUUAUACUAAAUUUUUUGUAAAAAAAUCAAACACAAAAAAGAACUUUUUUUUAGAAAGAAUUCUAGGGAUCAUUGUUUGCCUUAAAAAUUUAAUUUGAUUUACAGGGACAGUUUUAUGCAGAUUAUCUGAAGCAAACUAUUAUUAAUUUUUUAAUAAACCUUUAGUUUUUAGAUUGACUUAUGAAAUAAACUUAGAUUGAAAUCUUGAGAACAUGACACUGUUGAAUUAAUAAAUGUGAAGGUUUAACUGUGAUAACUUGGAGUUCUGUAUUCACACGUGCUAACCGACGCAACUUUUUUUCUUCUCGAGCUAAAUCAGUUUCCAUUCUACUAUCAACAACCCAAGUUGUACGUAUAGGCUUAUGUAUGGUUGGGCGAGCACUAGAGCUUGUGCGGUUUUUUCUUCUAGUAACUUUAGAAUUUUUAUCAAUAUUAUUAUACUGCUCUUCAUUGUCAUUCUCAUCAUAGAUUAGAGAAUCUGCAACAAUAUCUGAGCCAUCCUCAGAAAAAGACUUUUCUUUGGAUUCAAAACCCAGAACAUUUGCAAUACUUCUUAAAAGCAUUUAUAAAAUGUCUUCACUAACCUGUGAGGCAAUUUGUGACCAGUUUGAAUUCAUACAACAAAACAUACAAUAGAGUAGAUUUGUUCACAUGAAACAAAAAGGCAGCCAAAAAGUUCAAUACUCCUGGAAGAAAUUUGUCUUAAUACUGCAUAAAGCAAUAACAACAAGAUAAGCAAGCAUCAGCUUACAUAAAAUUUGGACAGAAUCCAAACCUUUAAAGUUGUCUUACUUUACCGAAUCUGGUGUUCAGUA